GUUGAAUUGAUGUUUGCUUCUCUGGGAUGACCCAAGAAGUUAGAUGGUCAUCAGACCAAGCACAAACUGAGCAAGAACCAGAGAGGGGUAGUGACUCCCCCAGAAUCACAUAGCCAGGUAACAGCCGAGCAAGGACUAGAACCCAGGGCCCUCACUCCUAGGCCAGACUUGUUCUUGGCAUCCAUCCCAAGUCAGAGGGCCACUCAAAAGGAGUCAGGCCAUUAAGGCUACAGGUCUCUCCAGUCAGGCCAGUAUGGAAAAGGCCCCAGCUGCAGGGCUGGUUUGUGAAAGUGCCUGAAGACCACCUUGUCCCUCUGCACUGGGAAGAUGCUGGGGUUCAACCAAAGAAGCUGGAAGCCCCGGGCUGGAUGAGCACAGGCCAGUGAGACUCAUGACGCACUUGAGGGCCUGGGAUGCACGGGUGGGGGAGAAGCUAGGGUGGGCCUCACCUGCUGGGGAAUGAAGGAGUUGGAGAAGAACACUGGACCCAGGGAAGAUGUGGAUUUUCAGCAGGAAGUUUAUUCCAAUGUUAAUGGCAGACACCAGGAAGGAAGAGAGGAACCAUUUGUGCAGAUCAUCUGGAAGAACCUAGAAGAACCUGGACUGUUCUAGAAGGAGCCGAAUAGAGUGAUUAUGCUGCCCUCCUAGGAGUGGUGGGUAGGGGGUACUUCUGGGCAUCCUUGGAGGACAGUGAGAAACCAGCGGUGUUUCUUGUUCCACCCCUUCCUGCAGCACCACCUCCCUUUUUAGAUUGCUGAAUUCUACCUCCCUGGGGUGGAACCUGGAGGUCCUGCUUCCUAUGGACUUGGUUGCCACAGUCCGGGAGCAUUUGAAGGCACAGUGCAGGUGCUCAGAUUGGCACAGAAUUAUUUGUAAAAUAUGAGUGCCACAGGAUUGUAACAGAUAGCUUCAUGCAUACUAUGCAUUUUGUUGGUUUGUUUGGAAAACGUCGGCCAUUGAAUUAUUAGUACAUUUAUUUCAGAUAGUUUGGAAAUUUUUAUACUUUUGAAGACAUGCUGCUCCUGUAGAGAUUUUUGAUGACAGUUAUAGCUGUUACAUAUACAUAAAUAUAAUUUUCUUUCCAUUUUUAAGAAGGUAUUUUGUUUAUCCUAAAUCUUUUAUUAUCUGUUAUUAUAUGUGCUCCUGAAGUGAACACUCUUUUUAUCUAUGAUGCUUAUGUAAUCUAUUAUAUCAUAUCUAUGUGGUAGUUCUCGUAAAUUCUUGUACUAGGAAUUUUUAUUUGCUGUUUCAUGUUUGUUACUGAAUUGUGAGAAUCCAGUUGUGAUUUUUAACAUAUCUUAGGUAUAUGUUAAUAGGUCUAAUAUAUACUAUACAUUUUAUUGGUUUAUUUUGAAAAAGGUGGGCAUAGAAUUCUUUUUUUUUUUUUUUUUUUUUUUUUUUUUUGAGAUGGAGUUUCGCUCUGGUUACCCAAGCUGGAGUGCAAUGGUGCGAUCUCGGCUCACUGCAACCUCCACCUCCUGGGUUCAGGCAAUUCUCCUGCCUCAGCCUCCCGAGUAGCCGGGAUUACAGGCACACGCCACCAUGCCCAGCUAAUUUUUUGUAUUUUUAGUAGAGAUGGGGUUUCACCAUGUUGACCAGGAUGGUCUCGAUCUCCUGACCUCGUGAUCCACCCACCUCGGCCUCCCAAAGUGCUGGGAUUAUAGGCUUGAGCCACUGCACCCAGCCCCUAGAAUUCUUACUGUAUUUAUUUUAAAUAGUUUGGAAAUCCUGGUAUUUUGAAAAGACAUUGUUCCUAUAGAGUUGUGUGAUGAGUGUUAUAGCUGUUAUAUACACAUAAAUAUAAUUUUGUUUUUCUUUUAAGAGAGGAUUAUUUUUAUCCUAAGUAUUUUAUCUUUAAAUCUUUGUAUGUAUUA
ensembl:lncRNA